rnacentral:rRNA from 1 species
AUGUUUGACGUGAUUGUUCCUAACCUAAUAAGAUAUAUGGUGGCACGAGGUGGUGGCAGCAAUGGGGCGCUUGUGCUGCAUGUCCAAGGCUGCACUAGGGAAGCACGAGCGGUGCCUCCUGCAAGAUUCCAUUGGGGCGACGCAUGGGCGACAGCCACCCCCAAGACUGAAAGUGCGUUAUAUCGACUAGAGGGGGGGGGGGUGAAUAGGCGAUUUUUAUGA